rnacentral:rRNA from 1 species
GAUGAACGCUGGCGGCGUGCCUAAUACAUGCAAGUCGAGCGAACAGACGAGGAGCUUGCUCCUCUGACGUUAGCGGCGGACGGGUGAGUAACACGUGGAUAACCUACCUAUAAGACUGGGAUAACUUCGGGAAACCGGAGCUAAUACCGGAUAAUAUAUUGAACCGCAUGGUUCAAUAGUGAAAGACGGUUUUGCUGUCACUUAUAGAUGGAUCCGCGCCGCAUUAGCUAGUUGGUAAGGUAACGGCUUACCAAGGCGACGAUGCGUAGCCGACCUGAGAGGGGGAUCGGCCACACUGGAACUGAGACACGGUCCAGACUCCUACGGGAGGCAGCAGUAGGGAAUCUUGCGCAAUGGGCGAAAGCCUGACGGAGCAACGCCGCGUGGGUGAUGAAGGUCUUCGGAUCGUAAAACUCUGUUAUUAGGGAAGAACAAAUGUGUAAGUAACUAUGCACGUCUUGACGGUACCUAAUCAGAAAGCCACGGCUAACUACGUG